AGUGGCGAAAGGGCGAGGAAUACAUGGAUAACGUGCCUUUGGCAUGGGGACAGCUGAGGGAAACUUCAGGUAAUACCCAAUGAGACCACAGUGCUUUCGGGCACAGGGGUCAAAGAUGGGGCUCCUUCGGGACCUAUCGGCCAUAGAGCGGUCCAUGUCCUAUCAGCUUGUUGGUGAGGUAAUGGCUCACCAAGGCGACGACGGGUACCGGGACUGAGAGGUUGACCCGGCGCAUCGGGACUGAGACACUGCCCGGACUCCUACGGGAGGCUGCAGUAACGAAUAUUGGUCAAUGGGCGAAAGCCUGAACCAGCGACGCCGCGUGUGGGAGGAAGCCCUUCGGGGUGUAAACCACUGUCAGGGAUUACCAAGCAAUGGAGGCUAAUACCCUCCUGCGUUGAGGCGUCCCAGAGGAAGUCACGGCUAACUUCGUGCCAGCAGCCGCGGUAAUACGAAGGUGGCGAGCGUUGUUCGGAAUCACUGGGCUUAAAGAGCACGUAGGCGGACUGCCAAGCGUCUUGUGAAAUCCCCCGGCUCAACCGGGGAAUUGCUGGGCGAACUGGUAGUCUUGAGGCAAGUAGGGGCAGAUGGAACUCUUGGUGGAGCGGUGGAAUGCGUGGAUAUCAAGAGGAACGCCAGAGGCGAAGGCGAUCUGCUGGGCUUGACCUGACGCUGAGGUGCGAAAGCCAGGGGAGCAAACGGGAUUAGAUACCCCGGUAGUCCUGGCCAUAAACGAUGUCCACUAGAUCGGUGAACUUCUGAC
rnacentral:rRNA from 1 species